GAAUCGGUUAGGUCAGAUUUCUUUCACUGUCAUAAUUUCCUCGCUGCUAUAACAUUUGCAAAGGCAGUUUCGGAAGAGGACAACCCUCCCCAAGAUUAGGAGGACUGUCCUUGGUCAAGGGCGUACAAGUAGCUGCGCUCCCCUGCUAAAACCUCCAAACAAGCUCUCAAGGUCCAUUUGUAGGCGAAUGUCAUAGUCAAGCUUCCAAGACUCCAGACACAUCCAAAUGAGGGGUUGCAUGUGGCAGUCUGCCUUUCUUA
rnacentral:snRNA from 1 species